UACGUAGGGUGCGAGCGUUAAUCGGAAUUACUGGGCGUAAAGCGUGCGCAGGCGGUUUUGUAAGUCAGAUGUGAAAUCCCCGGGCUCAACCUGGGAGGUGCGCUUGAUACUCGAGGGCUUGAGUGCGGGAGAGGAGAGUGGAAUUCCCAGUGUAGAGGUGAAAUUCGUAGAUAUUGGGAAGAACACCGGUGGCGAAGGCGGCUCACUGGCUCGUAACUGACGCUCAGGCGCGACAGCGUGGGGAUCAAACAGG
rnacentral:rRNA from 1 species